rnacentral:rRNA from 1 species
CCUACGGGAGGCAGCAGUGGGGAAUAUUGCACAAUGGGGGAAACCCUGAUGCAGCGACGCCGCGUGAGUGAAGAAGUAAUUCGUUAUGUAAAGCUCUAUCAGCAGGGAAGAAAAUUACGGUACCUAUGUUAGAAUCCCCGGCUAACUACGUUCCAGUAGCCGCGGCAAUACGUAGGGGGCCGGCGUUAUCCGGAUUUACUGGGUGUAAAGGGAGCGUAGACGGGAGUGCAGGUCUGGAGUGAAAGGCGGGGGCUCAACCCGCGGACUGCUCUGGAAACUGUACGGCUGGAGUGCAGGAGAGGUAAGUGGAAUUCCUAGUGUAGCGGUGAAAUGCGUAGAUAUUAGGAGGAACACCAGUGGCGAAGGCGGCUUACUGGACUGUAACUGACGUUGAGGCUCGAAAGCGUGGGGAGCAAACAGGAUUAGAUACCCCAGUAGUC